rnacentral:rRNA from 1 species
UUUUGGAGGGCAAGUCUGGUGCCAGCAGCCGCGGUAAUUCCAGCUCCAAUAGCGUAUAUUAAAGUUGUUGCAGUUAAAAAGUUCGUAGUUGAAUUUCGGGAUCAGUAUGUCGGUCGUGCUUCGGUACGUACUGUCAUUACUGGUUUCUCCCUUCUGAAGAACCAUGAUGCUCAUUAAUUUGGUGU